UACGUAGGGUGCGAGCGUUAAUCGGAAUUACUGGGCGUAAAGCGUGCGCAGGCGGUUGUGUAAGACAGUUGUGAAAUCCCCGGGCUCAACCUGGGAAUUGCAUCUGUGACUGCACAGCUAGAGUACGGUAGAGGGGGAUGGAAUUCCGCGUGUAGCAGUGAAAUGCGUAGAUAUGCGGAGGAACACCGAUGGCGAAGGCAAUCCCCUGGACCUGUACUGACGCUCAUGCACGAAAGCGUGGGGAGCAAACAGG
rnacentral:rRNA from 2 species